rnacentral:rRNA from 1 species
GAUGAACGCUGGCGGCGUGCCUAAUACAUGCAAGUCGAGCGAACAGAUGAGAAGCUUGCUUCUCUGAUGUUAGCGGCGGACGGGUGAGUAACACGUGGGUAACCUACCUAUAAGACUGGAAUAACUCCGGGAAACCGGGGCUAAUACCGGAUAAUAUUUUGAACCGCAUGGUUCAAUAGUGAAAGACGGUUUCGGCUGUCACUUAUAGAUGGACCCGCGCCGUAUUAGCUAGUUGGUAAGGUAACGGCUUACCAAGGCGACGAUACGUAGCCGACCUGAGAGAGUGGUCGGCCACACUGGGACUGAGACACGGUCCAGACUCCUACGGGAGGCAGCAGUAGGGAAUCUUCCGCAAUGGGCGAAAGCCUGACGGAGCAACGCCGCGUGAGUGAUGAAGGUCUUCGGAUCGUAAAACUCUGUUGUUAGGGAAGAACAAAUUUGUUAGUAACUGAACAAGUCUUGACGGUACCUAACCAGAAGGCCACGGCUAACUACGUGCCAGCAGCCGCCGUAA